CCCCCCCCCCCCACCAAGCUGCCCACCAGAGGCCAAGCUGUACUUGGUGUUUGCCAACAUGCUGUAAUUUCCAGCCUGGUUGCUGUAGCCACAGAGGAAUUUUCAAGGACAAGAACCAGUGCUGGUAAAACUGUGGUCUCUGUGGUUUUCCAUACCGGCUCUCGGCAAGGAUUUUCAAGAAAGGAAUACCAUCUCCAAAUCAUGAUGUGCCAAUAAGCUCCAGUUAGCUGCGGCCUUUUCCCCUGGCGGUAGUCCUGCAAUCUGAAUCCAGGAGAUGCAGCUCUGAAUCCAAUAUUUCAGAAGAAUGAAGAUGAAGCAGACCCAGGAGGAACUGUCUGUUGAAGACCCCCCCCCCCCCACCAAGCUGCCCACCAGAGGCCAAGCUGUACUUGGUGUUUGCCAACAUGCUGUAAUUUCCAGCCUGGUUGCUGUAGCCACAGAGGAAUUUUCAAGGACAAGAACCAGUGCUGGUAAAACUGUGGUCUCUGUGGUUUUCCAUACCGGCUCUCGGCAAGGAUUUUCAAGAAAGGAAUACCAUCUCCAAAUCAUGAUGUGCCAAUAAGCUCCAGUUAGCUGCGGCCUUUUCCCCUGGCGGUAGUCCUGCAAUCUGAAUCCAGGAGAUGCAGCUCUGAAUCCAAUAUUUCAGAAGAAUGAAGAUGAAGCAGACCCAGGAGGAACUGUCUGUUGAAGACCCCCCCCCCCC